UAAAUUUUCAGGUUCAAUUUACUGUUCUCUUCAGUAAACUUUUCAGUCUCUUGUUUACAUCUUGUAGUACCCACAACAGAACUGGAAUGGGUUCCCCUGGAAUUAUGCUUUGGAAUUCCACUCUUUAGCUCGGAAUUAAACCGGAAAGUCUGCAGAAAAAUUGCUACCCAUGGACUAUGUAGAAAAGAAAGCCUUCAAAAACUCUUGCAUUCCAGUAGAAAGCUGUCCCUACAGGUUCUUAACUUUGUUUAUUCAUUCCAGGUCCCAAUUAUUGGAGAGACUGUCAGUCCUGUGGUCCGUGUCUUAUUGGGCUGUGCUGCAAGAGUUCUUGAGUCAUCCUCCGUAUGGAUGAAGUAGUGAUAUUCCAACUAAUAAGAAUCCAUCUUCUGGGGAAUUUUUGGAUCUGAUUGCACUGGAUCUGUCUGCA
rnacentral:lncRNA from 1 species